rnacentral:rRNA from 1 species
ACAUCCACGGAAGUUUUCAGAGAUGAGAAUGUGCCUUCGGGAACCGUGAGACAGGUGCUGCAUGGCUGUCGUCAGCUCGUGUUGUGAAAUGUUGGGUUAAGUCCCGCAACGAGCGCAACCCUUAUCCUUUGUUGCCAGCGGUCCGGCCGGGAACUCAAAGGAGACUGCCAGUGAUAAACUGGAGGAAGGUGGGGAUGACGUCAAGUCAUCAUGGCCCUUACGACCAGGGCUACACACGUGCUACAAUGGCGCAUACAAAGAGAAGCGACCUCGCGAGAGCAAGCGGACCUCAUAAAGUGCGUCGUAGUCCGGAUUGGAGUCUGCAACUCGACUCCAUGAAGUCGGAAUCGCUAGUAAUCGUGGAUCAGAAUGCCACGGUGAAUACGUUCCCGGGCCUUGUACACACCGCCCGUCACACCAUGGGAGUGGGUUGCAAAAGAAGUAGGUAGCUUAACCUUCGGGAGGGCGCUUACCACUUUGUGAUUCAUGACUGGGGUGAAGUCGUAACAAGGUAACCGUAGGGGAACCUGCGGUUGGA